rnacentral:lncRNA from 1 species
UAGAGUUACUUGGUUGGGAUAAGGGGCCAUUGUACUGGAGCUGAAGUCUGAGGAUAAGCUGAAUGGGCCUGCAGUUAUGUCGGACAAAUAUUUAUACAGUAUCCAGUUACUGGAACAUUCUAACUAGUGGAGACAAGAAUAGGCAGGGUGAUUGAAAAGUCAGAUACACUUGUAGUUCGUUUAUACUUAUCUAAAGAUCUACUAUUGGGUCAUUUACUGAUCAAAGCUCAGGAAAUAGAGUAAUGAAAGGGCCUCCUUGUACUCAAGAGUAUUUAUUUUGGUUUGUUUUUGGAAGUGUUAGUCUGGAAUGCUUUUAUCUGGAUACUGGAAUAUCACACUGACUCAAAUACAGUCGAAAGACAUUAGGCUAAUGUAGUUUGAUAUUAAUUAAUACAGUCAAGGGCAAAAUCUGGUGCAUGAACAACCCAGCCACAUAAAUGCCCAAGCAAGUGUCUUUUCCAAAAAUCCUUCGUGAUGUUGUGCAAAUGACUUAAAAAUGAAUAAAUACUGUAGCAGAGAAUUAACCAGCUCCAAGUUCAGUUAGAAAUGACUAGUUUCUUUUAAGCCUUAAUAAUUGUCGUUUCCUAAACUUCCUGAUUUACUGUAUUUUUUUUUAAAGAAUCAUAGACAGAUAUUCAGUUGUAAAGCAAAUAUAAAACUUACACACCUAACUGCAAUGUAUUGGCUGAAUAACUGGCUCAAGGUUUCAUCUUGAAAACAUUUUGGUGAGAGUCUUUUGAUAUCUCCUUUUUACAAUAAAGAAAAAAAAUUCCUUUGCUUUCGAAAAUCCUGUUCCUCUCCAAAACCAGACCAGUUUUAAAUGAAUUGAAUCUAAUCUGAUCAUCUCUAAACUCCUGGAGAUCAAUCAACACCACGAACCACACCUGAGUCCCUUACUUGAGUGUGUGGCUGCAGCCUGGAGCCUCAGGAUGCUGUAACUCCGACUGUAUGACAGAGUGCUCCACGACUCCUAACAGCUCAGCUGUGUUGCGUCUUGGAUCCCCCUCCCCACAGGGACAGCUACAGUCACAUUCCUAUCAUGAGAUGCUAGAGCCUUCAGUUUACCAUUUAUCCAGAUAUUAAUGCGCACAAUGAGUGUGUCAUUUUAGUGUGUUCAUGCAUGACACUGCUCACUCGGUACAACUACCAAAAAGUCCUGAAGUCAUGUCUUCUGAUCACUCUAAGCACUUUUUUACUACGUCACCUUCACCCACUCAUGUCACAUCCACGCAGUGAUGGCAGAAACUGCUACGUAAGAAGAAUCUAUCAGUUCUUGACUAUUCCCACUCACCCGUCAUUGGAAAAAACCAGCAGGGGCAGGUGGGGUCAGGUGUCUUACCCAAAGACACUUUGGCAUAUGAACAGCUGGACCCGCCUAUUGAUCAAGAGUCCAUCAGCUGCUGAUUGGAGGUGACCACUCACCAGAGGUUAUCAUUAUUAUUGGGUAUUUGUUUAAAAUGGAUCCAGAAAAAAAGCCAAUCAGUAAAAGUAUCUUAUCUGAACCAGUACGUACCAGUUAAAUGUUGUGAGUCAUGACGCCCCACAGUGUUUCAAUUAUUGACUGAACAAUGUAAAUUUACUCAUCAUCCUCAUACAGUGUUGGAAAAAAGUUUGGAAUAUUUCCUUCAGUUCUUCGUGUAACGUGAAUGAUCCUCCAACAAACGUGGCUGAACUGACUCAGGCUGUGAUCCAAUGCUGGCGAGAAAUCCCGGUUGAAACUCUUACCAACCUAGUGACUAGCAUGCCCAGACGUGUACACGCAUUGUACAAUGCUAGAGGCGGUCACACAAAGUACUGACUGUAUUGUUGUUAUCGUCUUGUUAUGUUUGAUGUUGCUUUCAAAGAUGGUCCACGUAUUUUGUGGAAAUUUAAAAUUACAGCCGUUUAUUUAUUAAAUACCGACUCAUGAUUUUAUGUGUUAUUUCUAUGGCUUUUUGUGAAUCAUGAGGUGUCCGCCCUACAAUUUUUUGAGAAACAAAAUAGUUUGAUGUGAAUUUCAAAAACAUAUCACAGAGACCAGGGAACAUUAAAAAGUCUUUGAAUAAUUCUCCAGAAAGCAGCAGACCGCGUUAAACACGAGGCUGGGGUUGAAUUGACAAAUAUUCCAAACUUUUUUCCAACACUGUAAAGCAGCACAUGCGGUGGGCACCAGAGUAGCUUGCAAGUAAGCCAUCUGAUUUUAUUCCUAACUCUGUCAAGAAUUGCACAUGCACAUGCAUAUGAUCUGACUGUAACAGAGGUUCACAGAAGAAGUCCUGUUAAAAACAUUCAGACCAUGCUCAGUAGCCCAGCUUUAGAAAACGCCAUUCACAUCAAAGUCAAAAAUCGAACCAUUUAUUUAACCCUGCUUGGACUGCAAAGUAUUCAUUGAGUUUUAUUGCCAUCUUCAAACACAAAACCAUCAUGCCUCAUUUGCAAUGAAUGCGUUGCAGUAAUGAAAGAACAUAACAUUUUCUGGAGGCAUCACUUUAAAAACCCUCAGCUCUCUUGACCAAUUUUCCCAAGGGACCAAAACAGAGGAACGAAGUUUCUCUGCAGUUUGUGAAUGGAGAUAUUUAACUCCAGUAUGGUCCUGCAGAGCCUAAAAGAGAGCCACAGCAGCUUUAGUACACUGGUCAACAAACGGCUACAUGCAGAACCCACUUUUCUUAGACAGCAGAGAGAGGUCUUAUUGUAGCUUGUUCUGACGGAGUAACAGGACCACCAUGUUUUCAGGUGCAAUGACAUAGACAUGAUAACAGGCUUUACUGGAGGACACUUCAAGAGAUAUGUGAAUCAGUACACAUAGUUUUUGGGGUCAGAUUGAGUUGCCAUGUGACCCUAACCCCCUUUCUUACUGCCUGUAUGGCCCUCUGAACCUCCCCUGAGAGCCACAGCUGUAGGAGACCUCUCUUUGAACCCUCAGCAGGAGGUCCACAGAACCCCCCUGGCCCUAAGCUGUCCCUUCUCUCCACCACUGCCUCAGACUUUGCAGACUGUAACCAUAGCCUGCACAGACUUUUAAGAGGGCUCAAAACUCCCAUAGCAGCUGCUCUGCCGGUAAAUGGAUCCACACAAGCAGAUCACCUGAGAGCGCUAGGGCUAGAUCUCUGGAGAGAGCCGCUCAUGUGUCCUGCUGCCUGCACCAUUCACUGGGGAUCACAAAGGAAAAGGCCACCAAGACUCAUGAGACUGAGCAGAAGAGGGAAAGUAAUGAAACUGGAAACUCUCAAGGUGACCCGUUUAUUAGAAGACUGUUUGAACAGCUUGGGAGAGAAGUGGUCCUAACAUGGAUUUUUCUAUGACAGCAGUAUGAAGCCUUGGCAUCCUGAUCAGGAAAGGUUCAAAUCAAGCAGCAAUAAAAUGAGAAGAAUUGCUGUUUUAGUGUUGCAGAAAACAAGUUGCAUUUCUGUGUCACUAGCUGUGAUUUUUACAUCGGUCGUCAGUGUUAAGACCAAAGAUGAUGCCAACAAUUACAGAUAUCAAAGGGGUGGAUGCUGAGGCCUCAUUCAAAGUACAGAAAAUUAAAUAUCAUUUUAAACCAACAUCAAAGCACUGUCAGCAUGUCUGUUCAGUCAGUCAGACCCAACUUCAGUCAGUUGGGUCCUGGGUCUCGACCCGAUCACUCCUCACAUUUGUCUGUUAAUUAAAACUGUAUUUGUGUUAAUGGCUGAACAGCCAGCGGCAGGAAAAAGAAAGACAAAAGGAUAAAGCAGGGAAGUAACAAAAAAAGCAUGUUUUUAUGUUGAGCGAAAGAGACAACCAAAUUGAAGAAAAUGGAUACAAAGCAAAUACAAGCUGCAACACGGUAUGGGCUUUGGUAGGGUAACAGAUAGGGAUGGGCACAAUUAAUCAUUGAUGGAUUAAUUGAUCAGUAAAGAAUUAUGUUGAUCGCACAAAAGCGAGCUUCCGUGGAAGUAAAAAAAAAAAACAUUAAGAACGCAAGACGAAGUGUGGUGUGGGACCAUUUUGAGCGGAAAAUGAUGAGGUUUGCUGCAAACACUGCAAUGACAUGUACAAGUACAACACAACAACAACCCCAAUGAUGUACCACUUGAACCAUAUACAUCUGACUGAGGUUAAUCAAUCCUCUGAGUGCUCUCACUCUCAACCUACCAUCAGCUCUUUGCUAGCAAGCAUGCUAGCUGCAUGGUUAAAUCAUCUCUUUAGUCUCUGUUCCUUUUAUUGUUUUUUUCCUUUUAUUGCUCGUUUCUCUUUUCUUUUUCUAUGAUUUAAUAAAGUGAUUUUAUUUUCAAGGGGGGGAUUCUUUACGAGCUCUUGGGCUUCUUCUCUUGCCUGCAUAAUUAUGUACCUUGUGUCUCUGUAUGCAUUUUGUAUUUGUUAUUGUGCCGAUCAAUUGACAAAAAAACACAACACAAAACAGUAAAAUAGUUUAACAAGAGUUUCUUUGUUUGCUUCUUUGGUUGGUUCUUGGGCAAUUAGGUGGGAUAAAGUGUUAUGAGAGUGUUUGUGAAACAGAAUCCCACCCAGACCACUUUUUCCAACAUUAAGUCCUCCGUUGGUGUUGGAGUAACACAUUCUUUAAUGUGUGCAACUUGUUCCCGUUUCUCUCCUGUUCUCUUCCUCACCUCACUGUCCUCUGUUAAUGUUCAUCGUCUCUCCGGUGUAAGAACAUGAAAUCAAAUAAGAAUCAGAUCAGUGCUGAAGCAGCAGCUGGAGUGCGCCAUGUGGGACUUGUAGUCUUUAAUGAGCAGUGACUAAUUGCUCUGUGGUUCUGUGGGAAUAGAGGGAAUACUCUACAGACCUAUUCGGUGCUAAUUUUCCCCUGGAAUAACUCACUCACCUCUCUUUUCCUCACUUUUGUCAAGGUUUACAUGCUUCUCACACAACGAUGCAGAUAGAAGAAUGAAAUUAAUUAAGACCUGUUGUCCACCCGGCGGGCUUGGUCUUUCAAAGAUGUGCAGAAUUCAGUUUUUAAUUAUGCUUUUUUACAGAAUAUUCUGUUUAUAUUUUACUUUUGGAAAGAGGAAGUGUCAGUGACUGUCAGGACAAAGUCUACGGUAAUGAUGCUAUCUCCAUUUGUAGACCAACAGGGAAUUGUAUGGACCCGUUUGUCAGCAGUGACUAUGGUUGCCAGCUGAACUGCAUUCAAGACGCCAAGGACACAGUGUAAUUUUCUAAGAUGCAUUAUUUAUCACUAUUCCAAUAAAGAUACCAAAAGACAAAAAGGCAGCUGUAAUAAAUCAACCAAUAAACAUCCUCCUCAUCAGGCUGAUUGACAGGAUUUACUGCCCGUCCUUCACUUCUCCUCACAACCAUUAUUGCUAUUGAUCGCUGUCACUUUGGACUGAUAUUCUGGCUUCCUCUGCUCCACUUGCCACGGCUGCUUCUAAUCAGUUACAGCCUGAGAGGGAGUCUAGCCUUGGGUUGGUGGUUUCAGAGCAGGCUGCAGGAGGUUCUGUCUCAGCUGUUGUGGCUUCUCACAGAUCAAUAAUACCUUGGUACAUGGAUAACACUCCUGAGUAAGCAUCCUUAUUGAAAGUGACAUUCUGUUUAUUGUUAGUCUCAAGUCAUGCUGGUAUGUUGGUAAAAAUAGUCUUUUAAGAUGUUUGAGCUUUUACACACACACACACACGCGCACGCACGCACACACUCUCUAUCUCAAAUUUUGUCUAAAGGUUUAAAAUGCAAAGACUCGUGUCUCUUUCUAGCUCUAAAGUUGUUCUCCACCUCUGGAUGUAAUGACAGCUUGUAUGCCACCACCUACUGUGUCGUAAAGUCUCCUAAAACUAUUAAUACAAAAUAUUACACUAUGAUCAGUUAAAUACAUAUAAGCAUUGAGGGCAUCUCUCUCUCUCUCUCUCUCCGUCUGGUGCCCUCCUGGCAAGGUAACCUUACUGAUCAUGUGACAGCUUGUUAAUUCUUAUAGGGAGGAGAUGAGCCACCACUUGGUGCCUGCUUGCUAGAGGCCUCAAUGGCUGAAACCCAUUGGCCUGUCUUUUUUAAUGACUCUGCUGCCCUGAAAAUAAGGUUUUAAUUUUUGUUCACCUGUAAAGUGUCAGAUUUUUUACAGACCUUUGCUGUAUGUUUCUUUAACAGAUGACACUGCCGUAUGGUAAAUGGCUGAUAUGUUUUGUUCUUUAUCAUCUUCUUGAAGUAAUAAUCACCAUAUUGAUCAUUUUUCUCUGCAGACGCUGUAGUUCUUCUGCCUUAGCGUCUCGGUCUGAUUGUAUUUCCACGAAGAAAUGAUCAUAACUGUUCUUCCUUGAGCUGCGUCACCCCGCUGUAGUGCGUAAUGGACUGGCCUGAGGUCUCGCUAAAAACAAGCGGCUGCUGGAAGAGAGUAGGUGAGUUGUGUUUAGUCUCUUUGCGAAGAUAAUUAGGCAAGGCUAAAAAGAUGAUUGGUGUUUAGUACUAUGACAAGGACCCUAUAUGUCCUGUUGAUGAAGUUAGGUGCUGUUCUGAGCAUUAGUUGUGGCUAUAGAGUGGCGUUUUGGUUGAGGUUUGUUUAUGGCUCCUCAGAUUGCUGUGUAUUGCUAUCGUGUGGUCGUUACUAAAGUUGGUAUAACUAGAGAAGAAAGUGGUUGGCAACAUUCAUCUCUCGGGGGGGGGGGGGGGGGUCGAACUCGGUGUUACAGUGUGUUUGACCCUAAAUUAAUUUCACGCCGGAAUAUCCCUUUAACUAAGGUGCUAAACAUGGAAAACACUUCAGACUGAUUAUGAAAGUUCAAUAAUAUACAAGAACUUUAUUGGCCCCCAAAGGGAAAUUCAUUCAUUCUUAAUUCAUUCAUUAUUAUUUGUUCAUUAUUGGUUUGGUGUGAUUUUGCUUUUACUGUAACAUAUUAGUCUAAGCUUAACAUUUCAGAAACUUUAAGUCACAAUUACAAAGUCAUUAACAGAUGCUUUUAUCCAAAGCAACUUACAUACGGAUCAUACGGACACAUUAGUCAGACUAGGGAUAAGGGGGUAAUCAAACCACCAACCUCCCAGUUGUUGGACAAUCAUUCUACCUCCUAAGCUACUGCCGCCCUAGGUUAAGGGCUUUAACAAAAAACUGUGUACAAGAGUACGUUUUGACCUCUUUGAGAAACCCAACAACAUUUUUGUGAAACAAAUGAGUACAAAUUUCCUGUGUGAUCCUGCUGGUGUGAGAGAAAGGAGGGGGAGAGAGGGAGAGACUGAGGCUUCAAGGCAGCAAUCACACAAAACACAUUUGGAGGUCAUUACUGAGCCAGUCAUGCUGAGUGACUCCUACAGGCUGCAACACUGCUUAGAGUGUUUAAAGUGGAUUUGAUGAAAGCUUUCAUUCAGUCCAGCUCAUUAGUUUGAGUCUUGGAUGGUACAUGUUUCGAGAUUGCUCACUAUUGGGAUGUGCUUAGCUGCCAGUGCCAGGAUUUUAACUUUAGAUUUUUAUUUUUUCAUAAAUCUACACACGUCUAAAACAGAGCACCUCAAGUGUCCAGACAGCAGAGAGUAUGUCAGUAGGACUGAUUUGCUGUUUGAAAACAAACAUAAAAUAAGACGAGAAAAUCAUGAUCUGAGCGGCGCAGUGUUUGUCUGUAACAUAGGAUUUUUUAGUUGUUACUUUGCCAAGUUUAAUUACUGUUUACUUGAUAAUGAUCGAGGCUAACUUUGCCUAUUACAGGUAAAUUCAUGUUCCUUCUGAUGUCAUUGUAGCAGGCUGAGCUCUGUUGAGUCAUGCUAGAUUAUUAAAAUGCUUCACCCUAGUACACUAAUGUUGAAGGAUUUGUACAUGAAUGAGUAAAAUGAUUAAAAAAAAAAGUAUAAUGUCUUAAAAACCCACUUUUAUCCAACAUCAAUAAGCGUCUUCUUGCUGCAGGACACAGACAAUAGCCUUUCUCUGUGCAUUCUAGUUCUAUACCAGUUGCUAUAUUCCAGUGAUGGUAUUAAAGUGACAGUGACACCCAAAUCCUCACAGGGGAAGUUGGAGUAACUUCCCUGCAGGGAGGGCAGAGUGUCAGAGGAGAAGACUGAGUGUGACUUGCUUAAGGAUAUCUCAUCAGAGCAGACGUUUGCUAACAAAGAGGGUUUGAAGGCUGUCGCUGUCUUGACACCAGUGCCCUGCUGCCUUUACAUGUUCAUUGUUCGGACACUGAUGCCUACAGGAUGACAGCAGUGUUUUCCCAGUGUUCCCAUUAAGGUUCUCCACACUGCCUCAAAGAAAACACGCUUACUACAGCCAGAAACAGUUCAUGUUUGCUCUGUGGUAGUUUUCGAAUAAUUAACAUGAAAGUGACGGCUUUAGCUCAUUGUUUCUUAUCUCUGCAGCCAGCCUCAGGCGGGCACUCAGGGAACUGCAGGUUUUAGCACUUGUGCAUUGUGGAUCACUUGCAGAUCUCUCAUCAGGAACCAGUUUUUGAUUUCCAAACCUAGUUCUGAUGUAUUAAAUGUUUUAUUUCCCGCUUGAUCGCUCAAUCUUCAGUUUAUUGUUGUGAAAUUUGUGUGAGCAUUAACCUGAUUUGCAGCGCCCGCACUGGCAGUAACCAGUUCUAUGUGAAUGGAAUAAUAAUAUGGAUAAUAAUAAAAAUAACAAUAUGGAUAAUAUUUUUCAAGACAUUGUCAUCAUAUAUUGGCCUUCACAAGAACAAUAUCCCCAUUAGACUAUAUAUAAUAAAAAAAAACAAUUGUGAGGCCUAACAAUCUAUUUUCAUGGAGCUAUUUUGUGUGUCUUUUCUCUUAUUCUAUAAUUCUACCAUGAAACAUAAUGAACAGAGACAUGAAGCAUCGGGCUGAUACGGCCGUCCAUAAAGAAUAGAGCAUGAAUUGCUGAUGAUUAUCAUGCUCUUGUUACAAGGGCAACAAUUGAUAUUGUGCUAAAAAUAAGCACACUGUUGUACCUUGUGGGUAACUGACUGAUUGUUAUGUUUUCAUUUAUUGUACACUGAUUGGUACCUGCCAUAUAACAUGAUGAAGAUGAAGAUGAAGAAGCUAACUUGUCUUCCUAAAGAUGGCUGGGCACUUUUGAAUUGUUGUUUAUCAAAACGCAACGGAAGAGUUUGUGCAUCUUCAGGAGACACUAAUACAAUAGACAUUUACUUACAUAGAGUUCAGUGACCAAUCUAGAUCUCUCUGUGGUGGUGGACCUUCAAAAUAAAAGCAAAACAAUAAAUGUAAUCUCGUGACAGCCCAUCAAUUUCCUCUAAUUUAAAAUCCCUGUUUCAUAUAAUUUAAAAUAAAUGUUAACAAAAUGUUAAUCAUCUGUAAAUAUGAAAUCUUCUAAAAAUAAGAUAAACAGCCACCCAAGUUUGGCAUCUCCUCACAUUUAGAGUAUCAAUUGAAGCAGGUAAAAACAGAUUAUUUACUUGAUGAUGGUAAUAUUGUGUUUUAUUUUAUUUUAUUUUUUUACAAUGGUAAAAAGUGCAUGUUGGACAUCAGAGAAUGAAAUCUAGCUGUCCCUUACUCUGCAGGGCCGACAUUUAACUGAUGCUCUUAUCUAAAUGUUAAAGAUCGGAGCCAUAUUUCUCCUCCCCUCUUGUCUCCCUGCAGCCUCGUGGGCCGUGUUCGAGGGCAUUCAUGCGCACACAGGGAUGCGGGCUUUCGCCAACGUGACCCUGGGCCCUCACAGACGGAAGAUGGAGCAGGCCCCUGUCUGACUAAGCCCAGGUCCAUGUGGCGUGCUGUCAAAGCCCAUCAUUGUCAUACACUCCUGAAAUCAAUACCUUACAGCCUCCUGACAGUGUGUGUUAGCACAGCACACUUUUCUUCCUUUCUCAGCUUAACUGGAAAAGCCAGAGAGAAACGCAGAGAGCAAAGACGUGUACUUUUAGUGCCGGAGUGCAUAAUUCUUUCUAUGUUGACACGGUGUCAUGUUAAUUUCCUUGAGGGAAACUUCGCAAAAGGAUAAAUAAUGUUGUAUCUACUCUAAUCUAAGUGUGCUCCCUUUAAAUAGACUUGUCUUCAUGGAUAGUGUACAGUUAAAACUCUUCUGCAAAUUCCCUCUAUUUAGAAUUCAAAACUCCCUUCAGCUGUGAUGCCACAUAGAUGGAAUAUUUAUUUUCUCUCAUCAGCUGAAGUUGCAAGCAGGGAUGUUUUGCAAAUGUUACAAUAUCUUGCACAAAUUCUUGCACACAUCUGAUUUAAAACUUGAAACAUGAAUGCCAAA